rnacentral:rRNA from 1 species
UAAGGAAGGUCCGGGCGUUAUCCGGAUUUAUUGGGUUUAAAGGGAGCGUAGGCCGGUCUUUAAGCGUGCCGUGAAAUUUUGUGGCUCAACCAUGAGAGUGCGGCGCGAACUGGAGACCUUGAGUGCGCGGAAGGCAGGCGGAAUUCGUGGUGUAGCGGUGAAAUGCUUAGAUAUCACGCAGAACUCCGAUGGCGAAGGCAGCGUACCGGCGCCCAACUGACGCUGAAGCACGAAGGCGUGGGUAUCGAACAGG